UUGAACCCAUGAAUGAUGAAUCACGAGACGCUUCAGAUUUUUGCAGCAUAUGAUUUUUUGAUUCCCGUUCAUUAAUAACCGUUAUCAUUCCCGUUCAUUAAUACCCGUGUUAGAUAAGUUUUUGACCUAAAGCAGUAUGUGAAGUUAUUGUGAACCAGUAAAACUUGAAGAUUGAAGAGUUGAUUCGACGUGCUAUCUAUGAAAUUUUGCCCUUUUUGGGCUCUUGUAAAGUCUUGUUAAUCGUAUUCUAACGAAUGGGAACAAUAGGAAUUGGGUCAGUUUGAGUGAUCGCCUGGGCGCCUGUCGCAGACAAGGAUUUUCAUUUGACAGGUGAAUCACGUAUCGUACAGAAGAAGCAGGACAGAAAGUUGUUUUUUUCGUUUCCGAUCACCUUCGUCCGAAGAUGGAAAACUAGCGCAUUAUAACGAGCGAUCUGCAAACCUUGAGCAGCUCAAUUUUUUAAGCAGGAUAAACCGUAAAUGUAUGGUGAGAAGACAUGGACCGCAGCAGCACGCCUAUUCGACACCUGAUGGACAGCAUGUUGGACAGUGUUGUUGAAACAACGUCGCAGUUGAACAAAUUGCAAUACGCUACGAUUAUCUCUGAUGAUAAUGAAAACGCAGCCCUUACGAGAGCGACCAAUGUUUUCACCGGAAACUCGGAUAACACCGCCAUUAAUUCCGCAACGCCUGAUUUGGACUAUGGAUUCCACAACCAGUCUAGCGAGCGACAGUCCAGCUUGCAUGAUUUAGGAACAAGAAAGGAAAGGACGCCAUCACCGGAAAUCGGAGAGGCUGUGCCGACGAGGAGGGCACGCUCCAGUUCACCGGAAAUUGCAGAAUGUUACCGCUGCUCUGCAGGCGGGUCUGGCGGUAACAACGGUGUUUAUCGAGAGGGUGAUUCCGGUUUGGGCUUGCCUGACGAAGAAAUGGAAUGCGAUAGUGAGAAAUUCCCGUAUCUUGACCGUCUGGAAAAGGAAUACUUGAAAUGCACCGAAGAAUACGAAAAAUUUUCAUCUGUAUACGAGGAUGGCCAGGACGAAGAUUCAGACGAUGAAGAACGAGCUUGUGACAGAAUUGAAGUGCUUAAAAUGCCAAAGAAUUCGCCCGAGAAAGACUGAUUUCUUAUUGUCAAAGAAAACGCGUCACAUCGAGGGUGUUGGAUCCAGAAAUCACAGCAUUUCGUCCAUGGAAGGGAUCUGAUUCGACGAUUGUGAAUGCCUUCAUGACAAGCAGUAUUAAUUCCCGAUUGAAACCCUCAUUUGACGAGUGUCACAAUAUGGUCCGGAAAGCUUGCAAGAGCGAACGAUGGGGACAAAAUAAUGCUGAAAACGAAGAACUGGCUCGAAAACUAAUUCACGAAAUUCAUGUUUGCGUGGAUAAUAUCAGGAAUAUUCAUAGCUCGCAUUCCUUUGCGAAAUUGCUAACGGAACUUGAUGGUCAAGACGUACAAGUUGACCCAGAAGUAGAAUGCCGAUAUGAAUCCACUUUAGAACAAGCGCGCACUCGAUGGGAUGAUGCUAAAUUCGAUGUGGACGGUGGCGAAAAUUCCGAAGAAAACGAUUGGUCAGGACUAGCUUCAGAUCAUUCUCCUACGCCAUCUGCAUCUGGCUUUUCCAGAAAGCCUAAGUUUUCUUUCUCAAACACUCGGUCAGCGGUUACUGCCCAAUCGCUCCUCAUGGCAGCUGUUCAACGGUAUAAUGAUCUCUUUACUCCGCGGCGUGUGGCGCUGCAUCCAGUCCCAUCAGAAUCGGUACCGCGGUCAUUUCUCCAGGCUUCUGAUUGCCGGACAAGGAAGUUCCACAUCAGACGUCGGCCGGAGAAUCAGAACGAUACUGACCAGGGUGAGAACAGGCAACCACCUCCUAAAAAGCGAAAAUCUUCCAUUUCAGACACAACGUUCGAAAAUGCCUCAACUCUUUCGCUUAUUACUCGCACCGCCACCCCUUUCGUUCAAGUUCAGAUACCCGUGACGGUUAUUCCAAUGGAAUAUGCUAGAUUUACGGUGCGUAUCAAGAAAAAACUUGGCGGAUGAAUAUUGAUUUUCUUGUUAGUUUGAUUUCGGGAUUUACGUACAUCAUUAUUUUGGGAAAUGGAGAGUGUAACCGAAUUACGUUAAGACUACUCGUACAGAACAUCAGUGUUAUUUUGUCUGUAUUUCAACUUUUAAACCAUAAAUCAUUUCAUGUGUCAUAAAUCAUUACUUGUAUCAUUUCACAGUCAGUUCAGCUGUAAUGCACAUGCAAAAUGCUCCAGCAAAUAAUAAUAAUAGUAAUAUAAU